rnacentral:rRNA from 1 species
UAACACGUGAGCAACCUGCCUUUCANAGGGGGAUAACAGUUGGAAACGACUGCUAAUACCGCAUAACGCUGCGAUGGGGCAUCCCGAUGCAGCCAAAGGAGCAAUCCGCUGAAAGAUGGUCUCGCGGCCGAUUAGCUAGUUGGUGGGGCAACGGCCCACCAAGGCGACGAUCGGUAGCCGGACUGAGAGGUUGAUCGGCCACAUUGGGACUGAGAUACGGCCCAGACUCCUACGGAAGGCAGCAG